UAAAUUCCGCCUCCGUCCGGAAUUACUUGUCAUCAAAAUGGAUGUGUCUAGAACUAAAAUACAUCUAGAUACAUCGAUUUCAAUGACAAGUAUUUCCGUACGGAGGGAGUACAAG
rfam:Triticum aestivum genome assembly, contig: Triticum_aestivum_CS42_TGACv1_scaffold_034164_1BL